AACGAACGCUGGCGGCAUGCCUAACACAUGCAAGUCGAACGAGACCUUCGGGUCUAGUGGCGCACGGGUGCGUAACGCGUGGGAACCUGCCCUUAGGUUCGGAAUAACUCCCCGAAAGGGGUGCUAAUACCGGAUAAUGUCUUCGGACCAAAGAUUUAUCGCCUCUGGAUGGGCCCGCGUUGGAUUAGCUAGUUGGUAGGGUAAAAGCCUACCAAGGCGACGAUCCAUAGCUGGUCUGAGAGGAUGAUCAGCCACACUGGGACUGAGACACGGCCCAGACUCCUACGGGAGGCGGCAGUGGGGAAUAUUGGACAAUGGGCGAAAGCCUGAUCCAGCAAUGCCGCGUGAGUGAUGAAGGCCUUAGGGUUGUAAAGCUCUUUUACCCGGGAUGAUAAUGACAGUACCGGGAGAAUAAGCUCCGGCUAACUCCGUG
rnacentral:rRNA from 1 species